rnacentral:rRNA from 1 species
GACGAACGCUGGCGGCGUGCUUAACACAUGCAAGUCGAACGGAAAGGCCCUGCUUUUGUGGGGUGCUCGAGUGGCGAACGGGUGAGUAACACGUGAGUAACCUGCCCUUGACUUUGGGAUAACUUCAGGAAACUGGGGCUAAUACCGGAUAGGAGCUCCUGCUGCAUGGUGGGGGUUGGAAAGUUUCGGCGGUUGGGGAUGGACUCGCGGCUUAUCAGCUUGUUGGUGGGGUAGUGGCUUACCAAGGCUUUGACGGGUAGCCGGCCUGAGAGGGUGGCCGGCCACAUUGGGCCUGAGAUACGGCCCAGACUCCUACGGGAGGCAGCAGUGGGGAGUAUUGCACAAUGGGCGGAAGCCUGAUGCAGCAACCCCGCGUGCGGGAUGACGGCCUUCGGGUUGUAAACCGCUUUCGCCUGUGACGAAGCGUGAGUGACGGUAAUGGGUAAAGAAGCACCGGCUAACUACGUG